UACGGAGGGGGCUAGCGUUGUUCGGAAUUACUGGGCGUAAAGCGCACGUAGGCGGCUUGACAAGUCACUCGUGAAAUCUCCGGGCUUAACUCGGAACGGCCAAGUGAAACUGUCAUGCUAGAGUGCAGAAGGGGCAAUCGGAAUUCUUGGUGUAGCGGUGAAAUGCGUAGAUAUCAAGAGGAACACCUGAGGUGAAGACGGGUUGCUGGGCUGACACUGACGCUGAGGCGCGAAAGCCAGGGGAGCAAACGGG
rnacentral:rRNA from 1 species